rfam:Bacillus alcalophilus ATCC 27647 = CGMCC 1.3604 strain AV1934 contig00034, whole genome shotgun sequence.
CAUAGAUUUGGAAGCGAGGAAUGGCUAUUUGUAUGUGGGCACUUAAAUAGCUGGGAGCGAGUAGUGCAACCGACCGUCAAGUUG